GGCCCGGUGGUGUAAUGGUUAACGCGCUCACUGCUUUUUCGUGUGGAGGAAUGCUUUAUGUGGGAGAUUCCUGUUCGAUUCAGGAGUGGGUCA